rnacentral:snRNA from 1 species
CUUUGUCAUUCACUUGCCUGCU